rnacentral:rRNA from 1 species
AGCAGCCGCGGUAAUUCCAGCUCCAAUAGCGUAUAUUAAAGUUGCUGCAGUUAAAAAGCUCGUAGUUGAAUUUCGGGAUCAAUAUGUUGGUCGUGCCUCGGUACGUACUAGCUUAUUGGUUUCUCCCUUCUGACGAACCAUGAUGUCAUUUAUUUGGUGUUAUGGGAAAUCAGGACUGUUACUUUGAAAAAUUAGAGUGUUUAAAGCAGGCUCACGCUUGGAUACAUUAGCAUGGAAUAAUGAAAUAGGACGUUUGAUUCUAUUUUGUUGGUUUCUAGGAUCGACGUAAUGAUUAAUAGGGAUAGUUGGGGGCAUUAGUAUUCAAUUGUCAGAGGUGAAAUUCUUGGAUUUAUUGAAGACUAACUACUGCGAAAGCAUUUGCCAAGGAUGUUUUCAUUAAUCAAGAACGAAAGUUAGGGGAUCGAAGACGAUCAGAUACCGUCGUAGUCUUAACCAUAAACUAAUGCCGACUAGGGAUCGGAUGAUGUAAUUUU